AUUGAGAACGCUACCCAUAGACCAUAGUCCUCGCACACCCAAUACUACAGGGCUUAAUUCGAGUAGUGACAACCAACCAGGUUUGCAGCCAGGUGCAAAGGAUACAGAAGAAGAUUAGAAGACUCCAGGAUGGACAGAGUUGCUAGAGGGUCGCUAUGAGUCGGGAUUGCCUUGAUGACAACGGGGUACAACCAUCACCACUAUCAAUUCUAGAAGAUUUUCAUCACCCCCAAAAGAAAUUCCAUACCCUUUAGCAGCCACUCCCCAUUUCUCUCAAGGACUCUAGCUCUGGCAACCACUAAUCUACUUUCUGUCCCUAUGGAUGUACCUAUUUUUUUAAUAAAUAGAAUCAUACUA